GAAAAAAAAAAAUCUGGAUUUUUCUGCAAGACUUGGGGAAAAAUUGACCUUCCAGAUGGCACAUGGCAUCAGAGUGUCAGUCAAUUGUUUUCUGCAGAUUCCUUCCUGAGAUACCUCAUUUUCCUGCACUAUCUAUCAAGUCAGAGCACCUACGCUGAUGCAAGAAGUGUGACCCUGAGUCCAACCCCUGCUAACAACUGGUUGCCCCACAAACUUCCUUGGGAGCAUCUAGAGGUCCG
rnacentral:lncRNA from 1 species